UUCUAAUGAUAAAAUACCAGGCAUCAUAGCAGGUUGAUAGAGGAGAUAUUUUGGAGGUACAUUGCAUUGAGAAGGGGCUCUGAAAGCACCCUUGAGCUGAAUUCUAGGAAAGGCCAACCCCCGUGUGGUCAUUAUGAAUGUGGUCUUCUGGUUUUCUUCCAUCUGGGGCAUGACAAAGUCAGAGUUGCACAUACCUGCCCCUUUGAGGUCAGGUAUGGCCAUGGGGCUUUUGUUGGCUGGUGGAAUGUGAGCAGAGGUGACAUGUCUCACUUCUGGAUGGAAGCCAUGCUCUGUCCCUUUGCCUUGGGGCUGGCCAGACUGCAGAUGGCUCAUGCUGUCAGCCUGAGUCUCAGAGUGGCAGAGCCCAGCCAAUCUGUGAUUCACAUGCAGUGAGAGAUAGCUGUACUUUUCUUAGGCCGUUUAUUUUGGAAUUUUUGUUACUAGGAUCAUGAUUUUAUGACUAAUUAGUCAUGACUGAUGCAUCAAGUCUCUCUGUCUCCCUGAUGAAGGAAUUACCCUACGUUUCUAACUGAACCUGAUCAAGAGGACAGGUCAUGCUUAGGAGACUGCAGUAGUUGGAUUUGGGAUGGACCCAUUGCUUACCUCAAAGUCACCUGAACGAAGUAGAUUAAAAAUGGGAAAUUGAGAGGCUUCCCUGGUGGCUCAGUGGUGGAGAAUCUGCCUGCAAAUUCAGGAGACACAGGUUCGAUCCCUGGCCUGGGAAGAUCCCACAUGCCA
ensembl:lncRNA